GACGAACGCUGGCGGCGUGCUUAACACAUGCAAGUCGAACGAUGAUGCCAGCUUGCUGGUGGAUUAGUGGCGAACGGGUGAGUAACACGUGGGUGAUCUGCCCCAAACUUUGGGAUAAGCCUGGGAAACUGGGUCUAAUACAGGAUAGUACCUUCCCUUGCAUGGGGGUUGGUGGAAAGCUCCGGCGGUUUGGGAUGGGCCCGCGGCCUAUCAGCUUGUUGGUGGGGUAAUGGCCUACCAAGGCGACGACGGGUAGCCGGCCUGAGAGGGCGACCGGCCACACUGGGACUGAGACACGGCCCAGACUCCUACGGGAGGCAGCAGUGAGGAAUCUUCCACAAUGGACGAAAGUCUGAUGGAGCAACUCCGCGUGCAGGAUGGAGGCCUUCGGGUCGUAAAC
rnacentral:rRNA from 1 species